CCUACGGGAGGCAGCAGUGGGGAAUAUUGCACAAUGGGGGAAACCCUGAUGCAGCGACGCCGCGUGCGUGAAGAAGUAUUUCGGUAUGUAAAGCUCUAUCAGCAGGGAAGAAACUCACCUUUCAUGGAUAGCAAGCCCUGUCUAACUACGAGCCAGCCGCCGCGGUACUGCGAAGGGGGCAAGCGUUAUGCGGAUUGACUGGGUGUAAAGGGAGCGUAGGCGGCAGAGCAAGUCUGAAGUGAAAUCCCAUGGCUUAACCAUGGAACUGCUGUGGAAACUGUGCAGCUAGAGUGCAGGAGAGGUAAGCGGAAUUCCUAGUGUAGCGGUGAAAUGCGUAGAUAUUAGGAGGAACACCAGUGGCGAAGGCGGCUUACUGGACUGUAACUGACGUUGAGGCUCGAAAGCGUGGGGAGCAAACAGGAUUAGAUACCCGAGUAGUC
rnacentral:rRNA from 1 species